rnacentral:rRNA from 1 species
UACAUAGGUGGCAAGCGUUGUUCGGAAUUACCGGGCGUAAAGGGCGCGUAGGCGGUCUUGCAAGUCCUGUGUGAAAUCCCUCGGCUCAACUGAGGAACUGCACAGGAAACUGCUUGGCUUGAGUUCGGGAGAGGGAAGCGGAAUUCCGGGUGUAGCGGUGAAAUGCGCAGAUAUCGGGAAGAACACCGGUGGCGAAGGCGGCCCUCUGGACCGGUACUGACGCUGAUGCGCGAAAGCGUGGGGAGCAAACGGG